GUCCAGGGAUAGGAAUCGAACCAACAGUGUUCCGCUUACUUCAGAUGCCAUGUCCACUAGGCUACCCUGGA